rnacentral:lncRNA from 1 species
GAUUAAGGCACUAAAAUUAUUUGAGGGAGCACCUUUGUCCAGUUCCUCCUCAAGAACAAUAACUUUAGACUGUGGAGAUGAGAUGGACGAUGAAGAUUGACUUUAGACAAUAACUUUAUGCUUAUCUUUAGAACUGGACCCGAUAGUUUUGGAUAAGUCAGAAGACAUGCCCAACAUAACCCCCUCCAUAGGGGCUACUUCAGCUACCUGGAUAUCAUCCCCCAG